GACGGGUAUCCGGCCUGAGAGGGUGAACGGACACACUGGAACUGAGACACGGUCCAGACUCCUACGGGAGGCAGCAGUAGGGAAUAUUGCUCAAUGGGGGAAACCCUGAAGCAGCAACGCCGCGUGGAGGAUGAAGGUUUUAGGAUUGUAAACUCCUUCUGUUAGAGAAGAUUAUGACGGUAUCUAACGAAUAAGCACCGGCUAACUCCGUGCCAGCAGCCGCGGUAAUACGGAGGGUGCAAGCGUUACUCGGAAUCACUGGGCGUAAAGAGUGCGCAGGCGGGAUAGCAAGUCAGAUGUGAAAUGCUAUGGCUUAGCCAUAGAACUGCAUUUGAAACUGUUAUUCUA
rnacentral:rRNA from 1 species